UACGGGGGGGGCAAGCGUUGUUCGGAAUUACUGGGCGUAAAGAGCUCGUAGGCGGUUUGUCGCGUCUGCUGUGAAAUCCCGAGGCUCAACCUCGGGCCUGCAGUGGGUACGGGCAGACUGGAGUGCGGUAGGGGAGAAUGGAAUUCCUGGUGUAGCGGUGGAAUGCGCAGAUAUCAGGAGGAACACCGAUGGCGAAGGCAGUUCUCUGGGCCGUAACUGACGCUGAGGAGCGAAAGCGUGGGGAGCGAACAGG
rnacentral:rRNA from 1 species